rnacentral:rRNA from 1 species
CAGUCGCCGCGGUAAUACGAAGGGUGCAAGCGUUAAUCGGAAUUACUGGGCGUAAAGCGUGCGUAGGCGGUUUGUUAAGUCUGUUGUGAAAUCCCCGGGCUCAACCUGGGAAUGGCAAUGGAUACUGGCAAGCUAGAGUGUGUCAGAGGAUGGUGGAAUUCCCGGUGUAGCGGUGAAAUGUGUAGAGAUCGGGAGGAACAUCAGUGGCGAAGGCAGCCAUCUGGGACAACACUGACGCUGAGGCACGAAAGCGUGGGGAGCAAACAGGAUUAGAUACCCCUGUAGUCCCUGUCUCUUAUAA